AAGUCGUAACAAGGUCUCCGUUGGUGAACCAGCGGAGGGAUCAUUACUGAGUUAUUAAAACUCCAAACCCUUUGUGAACCUUACUGUCGUUGCCUCGGCGUGAGCUACGGCUACCCUGUAGUUACCCUAUAGCUACCCUGCAGCUACCCUAUAGUUGACCUGUAGCUACCCUGUAGCCGGCUUAUGGCCCGCCGAAGGACCGCUAAACUCUUGUUUUUUACCACUGUUUCUCUGAAUUGUAAACUUAAAUAAGUUAAAACUUUCAACAACGGAUCUCUUGGUUCUG
rnacentral:misc_RNA from 1 species